UGGGCCACUGGCGACUACUGGCGGCAGUGAGUUGUGUAUGAUGAGCGCGUGUCUGGCACUCUGUGGUCCAC
ensembl:snoRNA small nucleolar RNA, C/D box 114-4